UGUUGCGGAAGGUUUGGUCUUGUGGUUGGUUCUUGGCGACGAAAUGGCUUCUACACCUAUCGACCCACUUGUCCGCUCUCCUCUUUAAUCCGGCUGAGAACGCGGCGAGGUUCAAUCCAAAUGGCCACUGGGUUCUGUCUCUUCUUCGUCUUAUAUUAAUUGUUGUUUGGAUGAUGCCCGAGGCAACCCUCGUUCCUCAGCCGCGCUCCCCCUUCCCUCUCCCUCAGCGCCUCUUCCUUCGUUUCUUGGAUCGAGAUGGUCCGCUUCGGUGGAUGGAUCCGGUUCUUGAUGUCGAUCCUCCGAGUUCUCAUGGAGCGGCCCGUCCCGAGCGAACUCGAGCUCGUUUUCUGAUCCCAGAUGGGAUUUUUACGCAGGUGAAUGAUGAGAUGGUUCGAUUUCGUGGAUAGAUUCGGUUCUUGCUCUCGUUCCUCCGAUUUCUCAUGGAGAGGCCCGGCCGGAGCAAAGUCCAGCUCCUCUUCUGAUCCCAGCUACACUUCCAGAUUUCUUCUUCCACGUUCCAUUCUGGUGAUUCUGGUGCGUGUGUUAAUCUCCUCAAGACUCGACCUUUGGCACGUGAUGAUGAAGCCGAACACCACUGAGGAUGAACGCAAUGAUCUUGACAAGAAAAAGGGCAGAGGGAUGUCGAGGAGGCAGAUUGGUGGAUCUUUGCAGAGAUCUCUGCAAACAGCAAUCCUCCAUGGCAUCAGCAACAAUUCUUGACUCUGCUCUUGACUUCCUUCUGAGAUGUAGAUACGCAGGGAAAGCUGUCCAUGUUGCUAAUAGCUUAGAUGUCCUUUGUUUUCUUCCUUCUCCUUCUUUGGAAGAUCACCUUCCUUUCGAAAUGCUCUUUAGU